GACGUAUCGGAUACUGGGCGUAAGCGUGCGCAGGCGGUUCGUUAAGACAGAUGUGAAAUCCCCGGGCUUAACCUGGGAACUGCAUUUGUGACUGGCGAGCUAGAGUAUGGCAGAGGGGGGUAGAAUUCCACGUGUAGCAGUGAAAUGCGUAGAGAUGUGGAGGAAUACCGAUGGCGAAGGCAGCCCCCUGGGCCAAUACUGACGCUCAUGCACGAAAGCGUGGGGAGCAAACAGGAUUAGAUACCCUGGUAGUCCACGCCCUAAACGAUGUCAACUAGUUGUUGGGUCUUCAUUGACUUAGUAACGUAGCUAACGCGUGAAGUUGACCGCCUGGGGAGUACGGUCGCAAGAUUAAAACUCAAAUGAAUUGACGGAACCGCUUCUCUUAUGGGGACCACCUCGCCAUUGGUUCGAAUCUGGAAAAGGCAAAGGCCGGGCUUUCCCUCCCGCUCUUGUCAUUUCGUAUCGGAACCAAAGGCCCCGGUCGCCGAUCGUCGAUAUCCGGGUCGGCCGCAAUGGAAUCUUUUCGAAGCCCACGCCGUGGGUUUUGUUCAUGAAGGCGGCGUGCGCGACGCUAGCGAGGGUGAAAGUCCGAGCAAAUAUGUUCUUAUAGCGUGUUUUCACUGGCCCCAAUGGCUUCCACCGCCCGGGGUCCGCCAAUGUAAACCUCGGGGGGAAUUCUACCCCAAACUUUUGUUUGGGUGUAUCCAGGUCCCCGGUCCAAGAGAUUGGCCAAUUGCACUGGAACAAACCCAGAAAGGGGUUCGCUAGCAAUCUCGCGCGCGCCACUUCAGCUUGUGGGCUAAGACUACUACCUCCGGCCGAGGCUACAGAUAAUGCGGUUUUCCUACGUUUCUCCCUAGGGUAGAUCUCAACGCCUUCGUUUGAUAUAGCGCACAAUAUCUAUAUGUACGUGAAGGCCUGAUAGUAGUUGGUCGAUACUCUGCGUACGACCACUCAUUCCCGUGCCGUUGGUUGUUGUUUGUCGAUUUACACAUAGAAGGGUAGGUCCCUCCCGCCCAGCUCACCCUACGCACUGACGUCA
rnacentral:rRNA from 1 species